rnacentral:rRNA from 1 species
UACGGAGGGGGCUAGCGUUGUCCGGAAUCACUGGGCGUAAAGGGCGCGUAGGCGGCUUGGGAAGUCUGUGGUGAAAGCUCGUGGCUCAACUGCGAGUCGGCCAUAGAUACUCCUAAGCUCGAGUCGACUAGAGGCAGAUGGAAUUCCGGGUGUAGCGGUGGAAUGCGUAGAGAUCCGGAAGAACACCGGUGGCGAAGGCGGUCUGCUGGGGUCGAACUGACGCUGAGGCGCGACAGCGUGGGAGGCAAACAGG